CCUACGGGAGGCAGCAGUGAGGAAUAUUGGUCAAUGGACGAGAGUCUGAACCAGCCAAGUAGCGUGAAGGAUGACUGCCCUAUGGGUUGUAAACUUCUUUUAUAUGGGAAUAAAAUGUUCCACGUGUGGGAUUUUGUAUGUACCAUAUGAAGAAGGAUCGGCUAACUCCGUGCCAGCAGCCACGGUAAUAAGGAGGAUCCGAGCGUUAUCCGGAUUUAUUGGGUUUAAAGGGAGCGUAGGUGGAUUGUUAAGUCAGUUGUGAAAGUUUGCGGCUCAACCGUAAAAUUGCAGUUGAAACUGGCAGUCUUGAAUACAGUAGAGGUGGGCGGAAUUCGUGGUGUAGCGGUGAAAUGCUUAGAUAUCACGAAGAACUCCGAUUGCGAAGGCAGUUCACUGGACUGCAACUGACACUGAGGCUCGAAAGUGUGGGUAUCAAACAGGAUUAGAUACCCGUGUAGUC
rnacentral:rRNA from 1 species